rnacentral:rRNA from 1 species
CCUACGGGAGGCAGCAGUAGGGAAUAUUGCUCAAUGGAGGAAACCCUGAAGCAGCAACGCCGCGUGGAGGAUGAAGGUUUUCGGAUUGUAAACUCCUUUUGUUAGAGAAGAUAAUGACGGUAUCUAACGAAUAAGCACCGGCUAACUCCGUGCCAGCAGCCGCGGUAAUACGGAGGGUGCAAGCGUUACUCGGAAUCACUGGGCGUAAAGAGCGCGUAGGCGGGAUAGCAAGUCAGAUGUGAAAUUCUAUGGCUUAACCAUAGAACUGCAUUUGAAACUGUUAUUCUAGAGUAUGGGAGAGGUAGGUGGAAUUCUUGGUGUAGGGGUAAAAUGCGUAGAGAUCAAGAGGAAUACUCAUUGCGAAGGCGACCUGCUAGAACAUAACUGACGCUGAUGCGCGAAAGCGUGGGGAGCAAACAGGAUUAGAUACCCGGGUAGUC